GGUGGCUUAGCUGGAGGGGAGACUGGUGGUUUGGUUGGAGGAGAGACCGGAGGCUUAACCGGGGCUUUGGUCGGGGGCUUAACAGGGGCUUUGGUCGGAGGGUAAACCGGGGGCUUAACCGGAGGUUUGGCCGGUGGUGAAACUGGUGGCUUUACUGGAGGUUUGGCCGGUGGUGAAACUGGUGGCUUAACCGGAGGUUUGACUGGGGGCUUAACUGGAGCUUUGGUCGGAGGGUAAACUGGAGGUUUAACAGGAGGUUUUGCUGGUGGGGAAACUGGUGGCUUAACCGGAGGUUUGACUGGGGGCUUAACCGGAGCUUUGGUCGGAGGGUAAACCGGAGGUUUAACAGGAGGUUUUGCUGGUGGGGAAACUGGUGCCUUAACCGGAGGUUUAGUUGGGGGCUUAACCGGGGAUUUGGUUGGAGGGUAAACUGGAGUCUUAACCGGAGGUUUAGAAGGUGGAGAAACCGGCGGCUUGACAGGGGCUUUUGCCGGUGGGUGAGGGUGAGGGUGGUGGUGAUGGGGAGGAUGUGGGUGGUGGUGGCCGUGGUGGUAAGGAGAUGGAGCAGGGGCAGAGGAAGGCGUUUGGGUCACAUGGUUCACU
rnacentral:lncRNA from 1 species